rnacentral:tRNA from 1 species
GGUGGCAUAGCCAAGCGGUAAGGCAAGGGUCUGCAAAACCUUCAGCGUCGGUUCAAAUCCGACUGCCACCUUAA